GGCAAAUCUCCACCAAAUUGGAUUCACCUGUAUCCUGGUACACCUGCGCAGCACUCAAGAUGUUUGUGUCUUAUAUGAGGAAGUCAGGUGCAAGUCAUACGACUUAGCUACAGUCCCUGGCGCCUUUGGGACUGCCGCCACACCUGCUCCCCACACUGUCUCGAAAAACCAAAAAAAAAAAAAAAAUUCUUUUGCGUGAUUUAAUCACUAUAUGUCUUUCAAUCAUACUGAUACCUAUACCUUAGAGGGGAAAAAAUGAAUCUGAGAGCCCAUGAAAAUAUUAUUUAAAAUGUAUUUAUCUAUUUUAUGUUCAUGUGUCCAUGCCUAAAUGUAUGUGUAUAUGUCAAAAGUGUGCAUGUGAGUGAGGAGGCUAGACAAAGAAGUGGAUCUCUGGAGAUGGAAUGAGAGUCAACUGUAAGCAAUCCACAUGGGUGUGGAAAAUGGAACUGAGAUCUUCCAUAAGACCUUCCAGUGUUCUUUUUUUCCCCCUUCUUUUAUUAGAUAUUUUCUUUAUUUACAUUUCACAUGUUAUCCCCUUUCCAGUUCUUCCCUCUGGAAACCCCUAUCAUAUCUCCCACACCACCUCCACAGGGCUGCAAACCUCCUCAGCUCCUUCAGUCCCUUCUCCAGUUCCUUCAUCAGGGACCCUGGGCUCAGUCCAAUGGUUGGCUACAAACAUCCACCUCUGUAUUUGUCAGGCUCUGCCAGAGCCUCUCAGGAGACAGCCAUAACAGGCUCUUUCGUGUCUCUCGACCAGCAAGAAUGACACGACCACCAGUUCUUCUAACAGCAGUUUAUUCAGCAAACUUCAUUCUUCAUCUCUCUCGCUUCAUCUUUUUCUCCUUCCCUCUCUCUCAUCCUGGGCCUCUCUCUCUCUUAUAUACUCUCAGCCUCCAUCCACUCACAGCCUGCCAUGUCACCUCACCAGGCACGCAGCUUCAGCCAAUCAGGACGGCAGGGGCAUGUCUCCACCAAAUAUGGACUUGUUUACACCGCCAGCAUCAUGGUGCACCUGGGCAGCUCUCACGAUGGUCGUGGCUAUUUUCAGGUGUAUGAGGAAGUUAGGUGCAAGUCAUAAGACUUAGCUGCAGUCCUGGGCGCCAUCUUGGGACUGCUGCCACACCCGCUCCUCACAAGGCUCCUGUCAGCAAGCACUUUCUGGCAUCCACUAUAGCUUCCAGGUUUGGCGACUGUAAAUGGGAUGGAUCACCAGGUGGGGCAGUCUCUGAAUGGCCUUUCCUUCAGUCUCUGCUCCACACUUUGUCUCUGUAACUCCUCUCUGAUGGGUAUUUUGUUCCCCCUUCUAAGAAGCACAGAAGCAUCCAUACUUUGGUUGUCCUUCUUCUUUAGCUUCAUAUGGUCUGUGGAUUGUAUCUUGGGUAUUCUGAACUUUUGGGCUGAUAUACACCUAUCAGUGAGUGCACACCAUGUAUCUUCUUUUGUGACUGGGUUACCUCACUCAGGAUGAUAUUUUCAAGUUCCAUCCAUUUGCCUGUGAAUUUCAUGAAGUCAUUGUUACUAAUAGCUGAGUUAGUAUUCCAUUGUAUAAAUGUACCACAUUUUCUGUAUCUAUUCCUUUGUUGAGAGAAACCUGGGUUGUUUACAGCUUCUGGCUAUCAAAAAUAUGGCUGCUAUGAACAUAGUGUAGCAUCCUCUGGGUAUAUGCCCAGGAAUGGUUUAGCUGGGUCCUCAAGUAGUACUAUGACCAAUUUUCUGAGGAACCAUCAGACUGAUUUCCAGAAUGGUUGUACCAGCUUGUAAUCCCACCAACCAUGGAGGAGUGUUCCUCUUUUUUUACAUCCUCACCAGCAUCUGCUGUCACCUGAGUUUUUCGAUCUUAGCCUUCUGACUGGUGUAAGGUAGAAUCUUAAGGUCAUUUUGAUUUGCAUUUCCCUGAUGACUAAGGAUGUUUCUUGACCAUUUGAGUUUCCUCAUUUGGGAAUUCUCUGUUUAGCUCUGUUCUUCAUUCUUUAAUAGGGUUAUUUGGUUAUCUGGAGUAUAACUUCUUGAGUUCUUUGUAUAUAUUGGCUAUUAGCCCUCUAUCGGAUGUACGAUUGGUAAAGAUCUUUUCCCAAUCUGUUGGUUGCUGUUUUGUCCUAUUGAUAGUGUCCUUUGCUUUACAGAAGCUUUGUAAUUUUAUGAGGAGGUCCCAUUUGUUGAUUCUUGAUCUUGAACAUAAGCCAUUAGUGUUCCUGUUCAGAAAUUUUCCCCUGUGCCCAUGUGUUUGUGGUUUUUCCCCACAUUCUCUUCUAUUAGAUUCAGUGUAUCUGAUUUUAUAUGGAGGUCCCUGAUCCACUUGGACUUGAGCUCUGAACAGGGAGAUAAGAAUGGAUCAAUUUGCAUUCUUCUACAUGUUGACUGCCAGUUGAACCAGUUCCAUUUGUUGAAAAUGCUGUCUUUUUUUCCACUGGAUGGCUUCUGCUUCCUUGUCAAAAUUAAGUGACCACAGGUGUGUGGGUUCAUUUCUGAGUCUUCAAUUCUAUAUCAUUGAUCUACCUGCCUGUCACUGUAUUGCUAACUGUGAGCCAUUUCUUCAGCUCCUGUCUCUAUAUCACAUUAGAACCAAAAAUGUAGAAUGAGAGGAGAAAAAAAGAAAGCAUCAUCCAACCAGCUACUAUCUUCUAACAACUAAAGAAAGAUGUACCUUGUCUUGGACUGUGAGAUUGCUGUUUUUGAUGCUAUGUAUAGAAAUAUGAGACACCAGAAUGCCAUGUAUAAUAUUUUCCAACUGGAUGUGAUAUCAUGAGUUAUUAGAACCUAAGAUUAAACAAAGCUCCCUUUUCUCUCUGUAAUUCAAAUUCAUAUAGCAAUAAAUUCACAGUAGAUUUGCAGUAAGUAGUAGAGAAAGUCCCUUAUAUUACAACAUAAUGUAAGGAUACCCAAAAUGUAACACUAAAAAUAAAUUGGAAUAUCUUAAAGCU
rnacentral:lncRNA from 1 species